AGGCCAUGAUGUGGACACUUCCGUAGCGAAUCAUUCAAACUCUCCUAUGCUUCAUACAAAGGCUCUCCAUCCAAUUGGGAAAAUUCACGGAUGGAAGCUCUCAUUGU